AACGAACGCUGGCGGCAGGCCUAACACAUGCAAGUCGAGCGAUCUUCUUCGGAAGAGAGCGGCGGACGGGUGAGUAACGCGUGGGUAACCUGCCCUGUACACAUGGAUAACAUAUCGAAAGGUAUGCUAAUACGAGAUAAUAUGCUUUUAGCGCAUGGUAGAAGUAUCAAAGCUCCGGCGGUACAGGAUGGACCCGCGUCUGAUUAGCUAGUAGGUGAGGUAACGGCUCACCAAGGCGACGAUCAGUAGCCGACCUGAGAGGGUGAUCGGCCACAUUGGAACUGAGACACGGUCCAAACUCCUACGGGAGGCAGCAGUGGGGAAUAUUGCACAAUGGGCGAAAGCCUGAUGCAGCAACGCCGCGUGAGCGAUGAAGGCCUUCGGGUCGUAAAGCUCUGUCCUCAAGGAAGAUAAUGACGGUACUUGAGGAGGAAGCCCCGGCUAACUACGUGCCAGCCGCCGCCGUAACAC
rnacentral:rRNA from 1 species